rnacentral:rRNA from 1 species
GACGAACGCUGGCGGCGCGCUUAACACAUGUAAGUCGAGCGAGAACCGGUCCUUCGGGACCGGGGAAAGCGGCGAACGGGUGAGUAACACGUGAGUAAUCCACCCUCGGUACCGGGAUAGCCCGGGGAAACCCGGAUUAAUACCGGAUGGCCCAUCCGCUCUUCGGAGCGGCUGGAAAAGGUAGCUUCGGCCUCCGACCGAGGACGAGCUCGCGGCGGAUUAGCUUGUUGGCGGGGUAACGGCCCACCAAGGCGACGAUCCGUAGCUGGUCUGAGAGGACGAUCAGCCACACUGGGACUGAGACACGGCCCAGACUCCUACGGGAGGCAGCAGUGGGGAAUCUUGCGCAAUGGGCGAAAGCCUGACGCAGCGACGCCGCGUGCGGGAAGAAGGCCUUCGGGUUGUAAACCGCUUUCAGAAAGGACGAAGCUACUCGGGUUAACAGCCCAGAGGGUGACGGUACCUCCAGAAGAAGCCCCGGCUAACUACGUGCCAGCCGCCGCGGUAACAC